AGAGACAGCAGUCGCCGCGGUAACACCAGCACCUCGAGUGGUCAGGAGGUUUAUUGGGCCUAAAGCAUCCGUAGCCGGUUGCAUAAGUUUUCGGUUAAAUCUAUGCGCUUAACGUAUAGGCCGCCGAAAAUACUGUGCAGCUAGGGAGUGGGAGAGGUACACGGUACUCGAUAGGAAGGGGUAAAAUCCUUUGAUCUAUUGAUGACCACCUGUGGCGAAGGCGGUGUACCAGAACACGUUCGACGGUGAGGGAUGAAAGCUGGGGGAGCAAACCGGAUUAGAUACCCGGGUAGUCCCUGUCUCUUAUAC
rnacentral:rRNA from 1 species